AUUGAACGCUGGCGGCAGGCCUAACACAUGCAAGUCGAACGAGUGGCGGACUGGUGAGUAAUGUCUGGGAAACUGCCCGAUGGAGGGGGAUAACUACUGGAAACGGUAGCUAAUACCGCAUAACAUCGUAUGUGCCCAGCUGGGAUUAUCUAGUAGGUGGGGUAACGGCUCACCUCGGCGACGAUCCCUAGCUGGUCUGAGAGGAUGACCAGCCACACUGGAACUGAGACACGGUCCAGACUCCUACGGGAGGAAGCAGUGGGGAAUAUUGGACAAUGGGCGCAAUCCUGAUGCAGCCAUGCCGCGUGUAUGAAGAAGGCCUUCGGAUUGUAAAGUACUUUCAGCGAGGAGGCGUUACUCGCAGAAGAAGCACCGGCUAACUCCGUGCCAGCAGCCGCGGUAAUUC
rnacentral:rRNA from 1 species